AUGGAGCAGCCUCGGAGAGGGGAGAUGCGCGCGGGGGGGGAGGCUCUGGCCACCCUGGUGGCGACAGACCCAGGUUCCUCCCCCUGCCCCGGCAGCAUCAAAAAAGCUGCUUCCUCACGCCCUGCAACAUUCCAGAGUCACCCUGAUCUCGGAGUGCAUAGGAACGCGGCUAGAGCAUCCUGCGCAGAAUACGUGGGCAAGGACGCCCCCAAGGUAGCAAGGCUGGACUGGCCCCCAGGGAAAGGGACACGUCUGCAUCACAGCUGGCCGCCGGCGCCAUCCACACCUUCACUGUUAGCCAUUUUAGCUGAGGCUGAGGUGGAUUGCAACCCAGCAACAUCUGGAAGAACAUCUGGAAGGCUUCCCCCCGACCUCUGCCCGCUUGUUUCCGUCAUUACAUUUCCAUCCUGUCCUUCUCCGAACGGUCCCAGGACAGGGCACAUUACAGCCAGAGUCCGAUGCUUCUUAGGCGCGUCUUCCGCCUGGACAUUCAGGGGGCGUGAAGGAAGGAAGGAGGACGGGGCUCCUGCUGUAAAAGCUGCACCGAGGCCUGGCUUCAGGGGACGCAGCUGAGCACGAGGCNGCGUGCCUGCCGAAGCUUCUCCUCCGUGCACCACCGUCUCUGGGCAGCGGCCCAAGCCAACCUCCCGCCUGCGUGCCCCAAGGGAAAAGCCACCGGGUCACCUGACCCGACCCAGGACUCCGCACUCUCCAGACCACUCCUGCACCAAAGCCCAUUUCUUUGCCACUUGGACGCAAUUAGAGAUGUUUAGAUAACAAACGGCUGCAUUAAAUUUUAUUACCCCAGCAGUGAUGUUGGACAUGGCGAGCAUACUUCGCCCAGGCACAGAGGGUCAAUUAAUUAGCCAGCAGGGCUGGGUGAGCCAAGCAGCCCCUCCGCCGCUGGCCUGCCUGCUCUUCUCCGCCCGUGGCAGGUGUGGCCNGCUGGCCCUGCUGAAGGUGGUGGGCUCUCCUUCGCUGGAGAUCUUCAAGGAAAGGCUGGACGGAUAUCUGUCUGGGAUGCUUUAGUGAAUCCUGCACUGAGCAGGGGGUUGGACUCGAUGACCCUGGAGGUCCCUUCCAACUCUAUGAUUCUAUGAUUCUAAGGGGCCUGUGGCUGCCCCAAACUGCUUAGCUCUCGCCUCCACCCUGGCUGAUAGAUUUAGGGUCGGACCUUGGAGCUUCUCCCCCCACCUUGCCCCUUCCUCUAAUCCUGCAAAGGUUCCAUCUCUGCCUAUAGCUGCUCACUGUAAUGCACGUUGUAAUGUAUUCCUGUGACAACAGAGCAUGAGCAAUAUAUAACAUAUCAUUCCCUUACAUUCAAAAUUCCCUUUCCUGUCGCCAGGGGAACACGCACACACACCCUGCCUAGUCUGGGAACCCGCAAGACCACUGAUGGAGCUUUUCCUGAUGUUCACCAGCAGGUGGUGCCGGAGACUCUGGUUGGAGGCUCCCCUCGGCCUGGAGGAGCCGCAGGGAAACUGAGGGCAAAGCUCGCCCUUGCAAAAGCCCCAGCAAGGAGCAGCCGCGGGCCGCCCUAGAAGAAUCAUCCCUAGGUAGCCUCGCAUGCAGCGCCCCCUGCCGCAUCAGCCAGCCGCGCUAAGGGUCGCCCUGCCAGGGAGAGGGGGUGUAUUUUAAGCUGGUUUAUACUGGGUUUUNGUAUUUCUCUUUUUAUGCUCGUGGGCCACCCUGGGGCUUGAAAGGCAGGACNUAAAUAGACAAAAGUCAAAACAAAAAUACCGUCCCCCUGCUGCCACAUUUUGUUUCCUGUUAACACCCUGCCGUGUUGCUGCGUCCUGGCCAUCGUCAAGGUAUUUUUUGCACUCUGAGGAUUGCUGCUUGCAAGCUCGUUUCUUCUACUUUUUCGCUUCAAAGUGCAGCAUUCGAAGCAGUUGAGGGCCAGAAAAUAAAGGAUUGCUGGUGCAACUGCA
rnacentral:lncRNA from 1 species